rnacentral:ncRNA from 1 species
GUAAAGGCGAGGAUGGGGAGAGUACCCCUGCCCAAGAGCCCCAAGCGAGCCGGGGAGGGUGGGAGCCCGGCGGUGAGGGCAGGCGGGAAGAUCACCCCGGAGCCGCGGGAGGAAAGGGGCCCAAGGCCCCGAGUAAUGCCCGCCGGGUGGCGCCCGUGAUCGCGCCCCAACGAGGGCCUGGGGGCUUCCCCAGGAAGCGCGGUGGUACCGCGGAAGCCUUUUGUGGCUUUCGUCCGCGCC